rnacentral:misc_RNA from 1 species
UUUCCAUAGGUGAACCUGCGGAAGGAUCAUUAUUGAAUAAACCUGAUGUGACUGUUAGCUGGCUUUUCGAAGCAUGUGCUCGUCCGUCAUCUUUAAUCUCUCCACCUGUGCACAUUUUGUAGUCUUGGAUACCUCUCGAGGCAACUCGGAUUUUAGGAUCGCCGUGCUGCACAAGUCGGCUUUCCUUUCAUUUCCAAGACUAUGUUUUUAUAUACACCAAAGUAUGUUUAAAGAAUGUCAUCAAUAGGAACUUGUUUCCUAUAAAAUUAUACAACUUUCAGCAACGGAUCUCUUGGCUCUC